rnacentral:rRNA from 1 species
CCUACGGGGAGCAGCAGUGAGGAAUAUUGGUCAAUGGACGAGAGUCUGAACCAGCCAAGUAGCGUGAAGGAUGACUGCCCUAUGGGUUGUAAACUUCUUUUAUAUGGGAAUAAAACAGGGUAUGCAUACCCUCUUGUAUGUACCAUAUGAAUAAGGAUCGGCUAACUCCGUGCCAGCAGCCGCGGUAAUACGGAGGAUCCGAGCGUUAUCCGGAUUUAUUGGGUUUAAAGGGAGCGUAGGUGGAUUGUUAAGUCAGUUGUGAAAGUUUGCGGCUCAACCGUAAAAUUGCAGUUGAAACUGGCAGUCGUGAGUACAGUAGAGGUGGGCGGAAGUCGUGGUGUAGCGGUGAAAUGCUUAGAUAUCACGAAGAACUCCGAUUGCGAAGGCAGCUCACUGGACUGCAACGGACACUGAUGCUCGAAAGUGUGGGUAUCAAACAGGAUUAGAUACCCUGGUAGUC